rnacentral:rRNA from 1 species
GUACAGGCUUAACACAUGCAAGUCGAGGGGCAUCGGGAAUAAAGCUUGCUUUCUUUGCCGGCGACCGGCGCACGGGUGAGUAACACGUAUCCAACCUGCCCUUUACUCGGGGAUAGCCUUUCGAAAGAAAGAUUAAUACCCGAUAGUAUAAUGAUUCCGCAUGGUUUCAUUAUUAAAGGAUUCCGGUAAAGGAUGGGGAUGCGUUCCAUUAGGUUGUUGGUGAGGUAACGGCUCACCAAGCCUUCGAUGGAUAGGGGUUCUGAGAGGAAGGUCCCCCACAUUGGAACUGAGACACGGUCCAAACUCCUACGGGAGGCAGCAGUGAGGAAUAUUGGUCAAUGGGCGCUAGCCUGAACCAGCCAAGUAGCGUGAAGGAUGAAGGCUCUAUGGGUCGUAAACUUCUUUUAUAUAAGAAUAAAGUGCAGUAUGUAUACUGUUUUGUAUGUAUUAUAUGAAUAAGGAUCGGCUAACUCCGUGCCAGCAGCCGCGGUAAUACGGAGGAUCCGAGCGUUAUCCGGAUUUAUUGGGUUUAAAGGGAGCGUAGGUGGACUGGUAAGUCAGUUGUGAAAGUUUGCGGCUCAACCGUAAAAUUGCAGUUGAUACUGUCAGUCUUGAGUACAGUAGAGGUGGGCGGAAUUCGUGGUGUAGCGGUGAAAUGCUUAGAUAUCACGAAGAACUCCGAUUGCGAAGGCAGCUCACUGGACUGCAACUGACACUGAUGCUCGAAAGUGUGGGUAUCAAACAGGAUUAGAUACCCUGGUAGUCCACACAGUAAACGAUGAAUACUCGCUGUUUGCGAUAUACAGUAAGCGGCCAAGCGAAAGCAUUAAGUAUUCCACCUGGGGAGUACGCCGGCAACGGUGAAACUCAAAGGAAUUGACGGGGGCCCGCACAAGCGGAGGAACAUGUGGUUUAAUUCGAUGAUACGCGAGGAACCUUACCCGGGCUUAAAUUGCAGUGGAAUGAUGUGGAAACAUGUCAGUGAGCAAUCACCGCUGUGAAGGUGCUGCAUGGUUGUCGUCAGCUCGUGCCGUGAGGUGUCGGCUUAAGUGCCAUAACGAGCGCAACCCUUAUCUUCAGUUACUAACAGGUCAUGCUGAGGACUCUGGAGAGACUGCCGUCGUAAGAUGUGAGGAAGGUGGGGAUGACGUCAAAUCAGCACGGCCCUUACGUCCGGGGCUACACACGUGUUACAAUGGGGGGUACAGAAGGCAGCUAGCGGGUGACCGUAUGCUAAUCCCAAAAUCCUCUCUCAGUUCGGAUCGAAGUCUGCAACCCGACUUCGUGAAGCUGGAUUCGCUAGUAAUCGCGCAUCAGCCACGGCGCGGUGAAUACGUUCCCGGGCCUUGUACACACCGCCCGUCAAGCCAUGGGAGCCGGGGGUACCUGAAGUACGUAACCGCAAGGAUCGUCCUAGGGUAAAACUGGUGACUGGGG